rnacentral:rRNA from 1 species
UACGUAGGGUGCGAGCGUUAAUCGGAAUUACUGGGCGUAAAGUGUGCGCAGGCGGCCGAGCAAGUCGAGUGUGAAAGCCCCGAGCUUAACUUGGGAACUGCGCUCGAAACUACUUGGCUAGAGUGUGGCAGAGGGAGGUGGAAUUCCACGUGUAGCGGUGAAAUGCGUAGAGAUGUGGAGGAACACCGAAGGCGAAGGCAGUGUCCUGGCUGGUGACUGACGCUGAGGUGCGAAAGCUAGGGGAGCGAACGGG